GUGCUCUCUUCAGCAGCACAUGUACUAAAAUUGGAAUGAUAUACAGAGAAGAUUAACAUGGCCCCUGCACAAGGAUGACACGCAAAUUCAUGAAGUCUUCUAUAUUUAA